AUUGAACGCUAGCGGGAUGCUUUACACAUGCAAGUCGAACGGCAGCGCGGACUUCGGUCUGGCGGCGAGUGGCGAACGGGUGAGUAAUGUAUCGGAACGUGCCCAGUAGCGGGGGAUAACUACGCGAAAGCGUAGCUAAUACCGCAUACGCCCUACGGGGGAAAGCAGGGGAUCGUAAGACCUUGCACUAUUGGAGCGGCCGAUAUCGGAUUAGCUAGUUGGUGAGGUAACGGCUCACCAAGGCGACGAUCCGUAGCUGGUUUGAGAGGACGACCAGCCACACUGGGACUGAGACACGGCCCAGACUCCUACGGGGGGCAGCAGUGGGGAAUUUUGGACAAUGGGGGCAACCCUGAUCCAGCCAUCCCGCGUGUGCGAUGAAGGCCUUCGGGUUGUAAAGCACUUUUGGCAGGAAAGAAACGUCGCGGGCUAAUACCCCGUGGAACUGACGGUACCUGCAGAAUAAGCACCGGCUAACUACGUG
rnacentral:rRNA from 1 species